AAAAAAACGGAUGAAGUGCAUGUGCUUGUGAUGGAGGGAGAUUCAGUCACUCUUCACACUGAUCACUGGAAAUUACAGUAAGACCUGUACUGAUGCUCAGUGUGAUGAGAAAUUCAGAGACAGACUGAAGCUGGACAGUCAGACAGAAAGAGAGAAGGAGGAAGAGAAGAGAAAGAAGAUGGAGGAGAAAACGUUUAGAAGUUAAUGUUGUUUUAACUAAACUUUAGGUAACUUCAAACCGUUUAAGCCUUGUUAAUGUUUUACUUCUGUUACUUAAAUGAUUUAAAACUACAUCGGUUGCUUCGAUGUAUUUUAAGUGCAAUUUAGUUUUAUCGUCGAGUUUUUCUUUCUCAACGUGUCGAGUUCGAUCUUCUCAUCGCCUCGUUCUUUAAGACACUCGAGAGCUUCAAUCAGGACUGCAACAAGGUCUUUUGUGAGGUGGAGACAUGGGUCUCUUACUGUUGCAUGAAUACCACAAACUCUCUGAAGCCAGUGAUGACAGCAAUUCCUCAGAUAAGAGCAUUGAACAACCUCCUUUCUUCCAUGGUGAGUAAA